UACGGGGGGAGCAAGCGUUGUUCGGAUUUACUGGGCGUAAAGGGCGCGUAGGCGGCCAGCGCAAGUCAGUUGUGAAAUCUCCGGGCUUAACUCGGAACGGUCAACUGAUACUGCGCGGCUAGAGUGCAGAAGGGGCAACUGGGAUUCUCGGUGUAGCGGUGAAAUGCGUAGAUAUCGAGAGGAACACCUGCGGCGAAGGCGGGUUGCUGGGCUGACACUGACGCUGAUGCGCGAAAGCCAGGGGAGCGAACGGG
rnacentral:rRNA from 1 species